AUGAUACAAACAGCACACACGCGGAAGUUACCUGUCAUUGCUCUCAAGCUGGAUUUUCGCAAGGCUUUCGAUUCUGUCGGCUGGGACUACCUUACACAAAUCCUAAGCAUUAGGGGCUUCCCUGCUAGGUGGAUACAGUGGAUCCAUGCACUCCUUUCAACGGGACGAUCUAGAGUACUGAUGAAUGAUGAGGUGGGUGCUACCAUCCAAGCAAAGCGGGGUUUUAGGCAGGGUGAAUCCAUAUCACCAUACCUCUUUAUACUGGUUGCUGAUGUGCUACAAAGAUUAUGUUGCUUGCAUUUCCAGAGCGGCAACCUUUUGUACCCGCUCAGGUUGGAUGAUCUCUUCCCAGUGCUACAAUAUGCGGAUGAUACGAUGAUUAUCUUCCAGGGCAAUGUGCAGCAGGCUACUGUGAUCAAGCACAUCCUAACUGCUUUCUCAGAUUUCUCUGGGUUGUCCAUUAACUUCCAUAAAAACACUCUCAUGCCGGUUUGUGUUGCUGCGGAGGUGGCUGCUGAGAUUGCUAGUACGCUGGGCUGCCCGAUCUCUUCCUUUCCAUGUACUUACCUGGGGAUGCCCCUCUCUCUGCACAAGAUCAAGCAUGGCAUGUUACUCCCGGUUAUUCACCGAGUUGAUCGUCGUCUCUCUGGUUGGCUGGCCACCUUUCUCUCCUGGGGAGGGCAUCUCACGCUCAGUAACUCAGUGUUGGCAGGCAUACCAAGUUAUUUCAUGACUUGCUUUCCCUGGCCUAAGGAAUCACUUAGCAAAUUGGAGGGCCUCCUUCAAGCUUUUUUUGGCAAGGCAGGAACAGCAUCAAGGGUGGUCAGUGCCUGGUGGCUUGGAUAA
rnacentral:rRNA from 1 species